ACAAGUUGGAAAUCGCAAAUUCAACAAUGAGUGGUUUGGGAAGGAAUUAGUGGCUAGCUGUGAGUUCAAGACAACUCAGAACUCGGGACAAACGAGCUUCGACUGGGAAAAUACGUGUUGAACGGUCAUUCAACUCGGAAUUGUAAAUUCGGCAUCUUUCUCUUUGAUGACAAAAUUUGCCCAAGAAGGACCACCGCGCCACUUUCCUGUUUAAGCACAUCACGACGGGUGAGAAGAAGGUAAUCUGCAACACAUUUGUACAGAUGAGUGCUUUGACAUGUUUGCUAUGGCCGGCAGAACACGCAAGUCAUUU